UGGUUUCAAACAAGAAAUGGAAUGGAGAGUUUAGGGAUGCCACACUUUCUAAUCCUAGAAAAUGAUAAGUCUAUGGAAUGAAGAUCACCACAAGAAAGGAUUCUUGAUAUGAUCAAUACAAGGUCCAAUCCAGAACCUAAAGAGCAAUUACUCACUUUUUUAACAAAAAUUAACUUCCUUUUUAUUCAAUUUUCGUGUCCUAUAUAUAGGUAGGAGGGACACUUGCUGAAUUACAAAGAAAAAAUGCAAAUAACUCUUAAGAUUCCUUCAGCCAAAUUAAUCUAUCAUUAUUUCCUAUGGCUGAAGUAAAUUAACAUGAAUACAAAAAAUGGUAACAAGACAAAUCAAUGAAUGAGGGUGGCUGGUCUUGAUGAUCAUGAUGAUGGACGUGAUUUUGAU
rnacentral:lncRNA from 1 species